CAGAACCGAGAGCAGCUCUACAAAAUUUUAAGGAUUUCAAUUCCUUUUACAAAGGAGGUCCUCUUCUACAGCGACAGCACGUAAAUAAGCCGGUUUAGAGCAGCUCAGGCCUCCGCGGAGCUCGCAGGUCUGUGAGGGAUCUAAGCCUCUGGGCGGCUCGGUGAUGUCGACACCCGGCCUCAGCCUAGGAGGAGCUUGAAGAGCACAGACAGGGAGGGGAAAUGGCUGCCAGCCCAGAUAAGGUCUAUCAUGAGAGGCAGCAUGGGGUAGGGAAGGCCCCAGCUUCGGUGCACUCCUCGCACAGGGAGCUAGGAUCACUUCCUUACUGGCACGCGCAGCAGAUGACCGAAUUUUAGUGGCCGUCUGCAGGAUUUAUCUGCUGACCCUCUGGAGGGGCCUGACCCACGACUGGAAACCACUGGACUAGACAACCUUCAGCAACUGAAUAUGAAGUAGUUAAAACUAGCUCUACCCCUAUCAAACGAAGGUACUGCUGCUUAAACACGAGUACAUCAGAAUUAAAAAUAUAUAAAAUAAAGUCAUUUAUAGCAAUUGAUCUGUCACAGGGACAAUUUAUUUUUAUUUAAUUUAUUUUAACUUUUACGGUAGGAAAAGGAAAAGAUGAGUACCUUCAAACACGGUAAGCUUGCAGACUU